rnacentral:rRNA from 1 species
CUACGGGUCGCUCCAGUGAGGAAUAUCGCACAAUGGGGGGAACCCUGAUGCAGCAACGCCGCGUGGAGGAUGACACAUUUCGGUGUGUAAACUCCUUUUAUAUGUCAAGAAAAUGACGGUAGCAUAUGAAUAAGCACCGGCUAACUCCGUGCCAGCAGCCGCGGUAAUACGGAGGGUGCAAGCGUUACUCGGAAUCACUGGGCGUAAAGGACGCGUAGGCGGGUUGGAAAGUCAGGUGUGAAAUCCUACAGCUUAACUGUAGAACUGCACUUGAAACUUCUAAUCUAGAGUAUGGGAGGGGGAGAUGGAAUUAGUGGUGUAGGGGUAAAAUCCGUAGAUAUCACUAGGAAUACCUAAAGCGAAGGCGAUCUCCUGGAGCAUUACUGACGCUAAGGCGUGAAAGCGUGGGGAGCAAACAGGAUUAGAUACCCGCGUAGUC